GGACCCGCACAAGCAGCGGAGCGUGUGGUUUAAUUCGAUGAUACACGAAGAACCUUACCAGGGCUUGACAUAUGAGUGGUAGAGGAGAGAAAUCCGAUCGACCCUUCGGGGAGCUCAUACAGGUGUUGCAUGGCUGUCGUCAGCUCGUGCCGUGAGGUGUUCGGUUAAGUCCGCUAACGAGCGCAACCCUUGCUGUAUGUUACAAGUGUCAUACGGGACUGCCGGUGAGAAGCCGGAGGAAGGUGGGGAUGACGCCAAGUCAGCAUGACCUUUAUGUCCUGGGCUACACACACGCUACAAUGGGCAGCACAAUCGGUAGCCAAACCGCGAGGUGGAGCGAAUCCUGAAAGCUGUCCUCAGUUCAGAUUGCAGGCUGCAACCCGCCUGCAUGAAGAUGGAGUUGCUAGUAAACGCGCGUCAGCAAUAGUGCGUUGAAUACGUUCCCGGGUCUU
rnacentral:rRNA from 1 species